UACUAGAGUAGCACUCGCAUAUCAAUAAGCGGAGGAAAAGAAACUAACAAGGAUUCCCCUAGUAACGGCGAGUGAAGCGGGAAGAGCUCAAAUUUGAAAUCUUAAAGGGUUUCCCUUUACGAAUUGUAGUUUAAAGAAGUGUUUUCUGUUGAGGUUUUGGUAAAAGUUCUUUGGAAUAGGACAUCAUAGAGGGUGAGAAUCCCGUAUUUGACCUUUACUUUCAACUUUGUGAUACACUUUCAAAGAGUCGGAUUGUUUGGGAAUGCAGUCCAAAAUGGGUGGUAAAUUUCAUCUAAAGCUAAAUAUUGGCGAGAGACCGAUAGCGAACAAGUACCGUGAGGGAAAGAUGAAAAGAACUUUGAAAAGAGAGUUAAACAGUACGUGAAAUUGUCAAAAGGGAAGCGUUUGACACCAGUGUUGUUUUUCUGAAAAUCAAUUAAAGAACUGUUUAUGCUAAGCUGUUUAGACUUUAUCAGCUAACUGUUUAGUUUUAGGCUUUUCUUUAAUGCACUUUUCAGUUAACAAGUCAACAUCAAUUUCUUUUGCUGUAAAAAAGCUUGAGGAAGGUGGCUUGAGAUUCGUCUUAAGUGUUUAUAGCCUCUUGCCUAUGCAGUCGGAGAGAUUGAGGUCUGCAGCGUAGAUCCUUCGGGGCUAAAUGCAUUUGUGCUAAGUUAUAGCAUUUUAUAGACAACUUGUUGACUAUGAUUUGUCUUGUAGCUUACUCGCUUAUGUUAUUUUACCUACGCUUAGGAUGUUGAUCUACAGAGCGAGAGU
rnacentral:rRNA from 1 species